CCUGGACAAUGUGAUAUCUUUAUGCUGUGAUUAGCGUUGCUGACGUGGUUCCUGACAUAACAGGUGAGGAUUCCAGACCAGCCUUUCUUCAGAGUUAUGGUGUUUGUCUCAUUACCAACAGUCCUCUCAGUGUCUAGCAGUGGGUCUCCAAUCAGAGUCCAGUUAAACUGGACAAAAUCCCCCUUAGAGGAGCAGGACACCCUCAUCUCUCCAUCGGUCAGACACUUAGUGGUCAGAUCAGGAGUGGACACUGGGGCUGUGGAGGAAUUAAAUGAGCUGUGCUAACAGAGGAUCCUUACAGCCAUUACAGAAUGCUAUUGUACAUUGAGGGAACAAAUGAUUUGAUCCCCUUCUGAUUUUGUAAAUUUUCCCACUGACAAAGAAAUUAUCAGUCUAUAAUUUUAAUGGUAGGUUUAUUUGAACGUUGAGAGACAGAAUAACAGUAAAAAACACGUAUUUAAACAAAAAAUGUAUACAUUGAUUAGCAUUUUUAGAGUGCGCUCCUAAUCUCAACUCGUUACCUGUAUAAAAGGCACUUGGCAGCCAGUUAUUUUUUGGAUUGAGAGGGGAUCAAAUACUUAUUUCACUAAUUAAAUUGCAAAUCAAUUUGUAACAUUUUUGACAUGGAUAUUUUUGUUGUUAUUCUGUCUCUCACUGUUUAAAUAAACCUACCAUUAAAAUUAUUAAUUUUAAUAGCCUGAUCAUUUGUUUUUCAGUGGGCAAAUGUACAAAAUCAGCAGGGGAUCAAAUAAUUGUUUCUCUCACUGUAUGUUAAAAUGCAGUUUAAUAAUGGUUUAGAAAUGGUCUUUUCUUAGGUGGUAGAUGCAUAAUCAGGCCAGGGCUGUACAGCCCAGUGCAGCUCAGUUUAGUGUAGUUAUGAGGAAUAAUGUAGCUGUAUGGCUUGUGAUUUAACCAUUGUUCAAAUACUUGUUUUAUAAGUAAUUACACCAGGUUUGUCUAGAGAAUAUCCUGCUUUAGAUUUUUUGUAACACAUACUGUUCUUGGUGUCUUUCAGUAAUGUCUUACCUUCAAUGAAGAGGUGUAGUUGUCCAAAGUAUUGUCUAUUUCCAUUUUUAAAUGUUUCCAAUGUAUACAGGUCUGAAUCAUUCCUCUCUGUAGUAACUAUUAAAAAUGUCCCAUUGCCUUCAAAGAACGUUGAUCUGUCCUUGAUGUAUUCAUUGGCUACUACUUUGUUGUUUCUCAUUUUGACUACCCAUGUAGGGUUCCCAUAAGUUUUUUUGAAUAUGUCAAAUGCAUCAUAUUCCAUUGCAUUAAUGGGUAUCUGGAAAUAGAAAC
ensembl:lncRNA